UACGAAGGGGGCGAGCGUUGUUCGGAAUCACUGGGCUUAAAGCGUGCGUAGGCGGACAAGAAAGUCAGAAGUGAAAUCCCAGGGCUCAACCCUGGAACUGCUUUUGAAACUCCUUGUCUAGAAUUCGAGAGAGGUUAACGGAAUUCCGAGUGUAGAGGUGAAAUUCGCAGAUAUUCGGAGGAACACCAGUGGCGAAGGCGGUUAACUGGCUCGAUAUUGACGCUGAGGUACGAAAGCGUGGGGAGCGAACAGG
rnacentral:misc_RNA from 1 species